GAUGAACGCUGGCUACAGGCUUAACACAUGCAAGUCGAGGGGAAACGACGGGGAAGCUUGCUUCCCCGGGCGUCGACCGGCGCACGGGUGAGUAACGCGUAUCUAACCUGCCUCUGACUGAGGGAUAACCCGUCGAAAGUCGGCCUAAUACCUCAUGGCAUCGUCUGCGGGCAUCCAACGACGAUUAAAGAUUUCAUCGGUCAGGGAUGGGGAUGCGUCUGAUUAGCUUGUUGGCGGGGUAACGGCCCACCAAGGCUACGAUCAGUAGGGGUUCUGAGAGGAAGGUCCCCCACAUUGGAACUGAGACACGGUCCAAACUCCUACGGGAGGCAGCAGUGAGGAAUAUUGGUCAAUGGGCGGGAGCCUGAACCAGCCAAGUAGCGUGCAGGAUGACGGCCCUAUGGGUUGUAAACUGCUUUUAUGCGGGGAUAAAGUGAGGGACGUGUCCUUCAUUGCAGGUACCGCAUGAAUAAGGACCGGCUAAUUCCGUG
rnacentral:rRNA from 1 species